rnacentral:rRNA from 1 species
AACGAACGCUGGCGGCAGGCCUAACACAUGCAAGUCGAACGGGACCUUCGGGUCUAGUGGCGGACGGGUGAGUAACGCGUGGGAACGUGCCCUUUGGUUCGGAAUAGCCUCGGGAAACUGGGAGUAAUACCGGAUACGGUCGGAAGACGAAAGAUUUAUCGCCGAAGGAUCGGCCCGCGUUGGAUUAGGUAGUUGGUGGGGUAAAGGCCUACCAAGCCGACGAUCCAUAGCUGGUUUGAGAGGAUGAUCAGCCACACUGGGACUGAGACACGGCCCAGACUCCUACGGGAGGCAGCAGUGGGGAAUCUUAGACAAUGGGGGGAAACCCUGAUCUAGCCAUGCCGCGUGAUCGAUGAAGGCCUUAGGGUUGUAAAGCACUUUCAGUGGGGAGAAAGGUUAAUUCACCUAAUAACGUGAGUAAAUUAGAUGUUACCCACAGAAGAAGCACCGGCUAACUCCGUGCCAGCAGCCGCGGUAAU